UAAACUAAGUUGAUUGAUCACUCAUGUCUGCAGUAUUUUAUGAAUGGGUAAAUUGGGGCAUGGAAGCCUUUUAUAUUCUAAAAAUUACAGCCCCCAUUUUUCCUUGCAUGGCCCAACUGAGGCGUUUGGAGUUAUUGCACAGGGGCAGCUAUGAUACAGCACCACUGGAGAAGGGAGGGUUAAGGGCCUAGAUAUUUAAAUAUUCCUUGCUCAAGGGCCCAACAGUGGCAGCUUGGCAGUGCCGGGGCCUGAUCCUCUGCUCAAUAACAGAGCUGUUACGGCUUUAGUUUUAAUAACCAUUUUAUGAUGGAAGUUAGGACCUCUGAAAUGGCCUUUCAUGUUCCUCUGUGGUUCUGGUCUAUGCUGACAUGAAUGGGUCUCACAGUUGCUGCAGGUUUAAAUAGUGCACUUUCAUUCUGUGUAUCUGAGAGGAUUACUAAACAAAGCAGGCCAUUGGAUAUUUAGAAGUUUACUGGAUUCCUAUUGGUGUGUUGUGGAUUUGGGAUGAUCCCAUUGGCUGAAUAAAUGCACAAAGGUGUCAGUGGUCCAAAUCGGCCAAUGGGAUCCUGAGAAAUCGCCGCGCGCUCCCAAAGGUAUUUAAAUCACCCGGCAGCCAUUUUAAGCACGAGACCGAAUUUUGCAAUUUCUCCUUACUUUCCCCUUUACUGAAAAUGGAAGGAGAAAAGAAGACUUGUGAUUCUGCACCAGAAGAUAUUUUGGAAAGUGAUAGCUGGGUCAAUCUUCUAUCUGAGUCUCCAUCUGAAGAAGAGGACAUUCUCCAUCCUCAGAACCAUCUGAAAGACAUGCAAUCACUGUCAUGAUGAUGAUGAUGAUGAUGAGCCACCAAGUUUAGAUCAACCACCACUUCUCAAGCACAGAAACACCUGUCACCUCAUUUAAGCGAUCCGGACGAUGAUGAGGAAAAUAAUUCGGGAAAAGGGCACAGCGAAAUUUGACAGGAUUUGUAAAAGAAAGCCACUGCAUACUGAGGUUGUGACCGCAUGUAAGGCUUAUUUUCAGCCUCACUGGAACAUUUCCAUUAAUGAGAGGAUGGUGGCAUCAAACAGUACAUGAAGAAAAAACCCACAAAGUUGGGAUAUAAACUAUUUGUUCUUGCUGACUCUGUGACUAGGUACACAUUGAACCUUUUUUUGUACACUGGUACUGAUUCCAGAACAGAACUUGCUCUCCUAUAAUGAACCUUAUGUCAUUGUCUUUGCUUGGUUCUGGCUACACGAUUUGUACCUGAAACAUAUAGGCUGUUGUGGGACCAUAGGGAAAAAUCGCAUUGGUUUUCCACAAACUACAGUAAAUGACUUUCCCAAAAAUGCUGAGAGGGGAGAUAUACGCUUCAUUAGACAAAACAAUUUACUUUUUGUUAAAUGGAAAAGACACUCUUGAAGUUGCGUUGUGCUCAACAGUGCAUAAAGCUUUCAGUGGAAAAACAGUCAAGCGCAGAGUAAAGCAGGCAGGCGUGUGGCAGGCAUUGCUGAACUGUUCAAAAUGAGGAAAGAGAAAAGCAUGAUAAAUCCAUAUACAUUGAAGAAAUUUAGGGAGGAACUUGCAGCAGAAAUGCUGAGGUCAGCUGCACCAUCAGCUGCAGUCAGCUGCAGUCAGCUGCACCAUCACCACCAGAGCCACACAAUUCACCUGCAUACCUCUUUACUAUGGGGGGAAUGCCACAGAUGUAAGAAGGUACUGUAAAAAGUGCCAAGAGGAUGGCAAACCAAAGGUGAAGACACCUAUUUAUUGCAGAAAGUGCCAGGUCUCUCUGUGUCGGGAACUACUUCCAGAUGUGGUUCGAUGCAUUAUAGUGUAACUAGUGACAUUGUUUUUGUAGGGUUUACUCUGUUGCACAAAAACAAACAACCCCAAAACAGUUAUAGUUGAAUGGAAUGAACAUGUUGUACUGACAUAAAUCAGAUACGUUUUACAGUUUGGUACCUUAAAAGCCUCAAAUUGCAGAGGUGUGCCAAAAUAUACCAAAAUGACACACUGGAGAAUGACACACUAACAUUCCUCUACAAAAACAUCUCUAUAACACCUCUGAUACACAAUAGAUCUCUCUCUCUCUCUCUCUCCCUCCCUCCCCCCAAUUCUGAUGGAUGAUGUAACUUUUUGCCUGUAUCAGCAUGAAUGCCCUGCUGCCCCACCGUCAGCUGAUUAGAUAAUAGCAAAAUGAGUAGAUACACAAGUGGUCCUAAUAAAGUUCAGUAACUGUAGUUAUCUACUCACUUUUAACAGAUUGCUUUCACAUUUUCAUAAACCAUAUACUCUGAUGAACACUGUCACCCGAUUUUUAUACUCGUAUUCGAUCUGAUCUGGUUUGGAUCGGGUAAAAAAGAAUUAAAAA